UCUUUUUGAAUUUUUAAAAGGUGAAAUGAAAAGGUGAAGUGAUUAAUUUAGUAAAUGUAUUACAGGUGGAAUUUUUAAAAAAUUAAGUAAAUUGGGCUUGUUUUGUCAUAGGAGUCGGCUUUGUAUUCACCAACUUGUAAUUUUGAUAUAGUUGGUUCAUUAUGGAUGUGUCUUUUAUGUAUUUAAGACUCCAAGUCUAACUAAGAACAGGAUUAACGGGAGUGCUUAAUUAGGGUUGUUAGUAUUAUUAGGAUUAAAAAUAAAUGGUAAUUAGGUUUAAUGUGAAAAGCCGUUUCUUAUUAAGGGGAAAGAAGCAUCGGGUCUUGUGGGAUACGUGUGGCCUUUUCAUCGAUCAUAUGUUUCUCUCUCUCCACCAAAACACACCGCGUCUCGCGUCUCUCUCACUUUUGUCGACGACUCGUUGUCUCUCUAGCUCUCCUCGUCGUCUCCGCCGGUUUUUCUUGAUCUCGCAUGCAUCGAUCGGCGUCUCCUUGGGUGGACUCUUCGUAUCUCUUGCUCGCCUCGACGGUUCCGCGUCUCUGUAGCUGUCAUCGAUGACUCCGGCUCUGUUUCUUGUUCUUUCCCCGAAGAUGAAUCGAUUGUCGUCUCUAUCGAUCGCUCUCCUCGACGGUGAAAAACCUCAGUCUCUCUCUCGACGGCUCACCUCGACACAGAGAAGCGGAGACAUCUCUCUCUGAGGUUCACCUCGAUGAAAUCAAAAAGGCGAUCGUUGAUGCUCGGUCAAAUGGAAAGGUUAAGCUUAGAUAGUGCUCUUUCUUUGUUUUUUCAAUUUGUUGGCUUCAUAUGAUCUGUCUCUUGAUUCUGAUUCAUUUUGAUUUGGUUAUUUUAUUUGUGUGCUAAGCUGAAGGGAUCAAGAGACAUCAAGGUUCGCCUCAGAAGAGGAUUUGGCUACUGCAAUAUAGAUGUAGGGAUCAAGAGACAUCAAGGUUCGUCUAAGAAGACGAUUUGGCUAUUGCAAUACAUGUCAAACAAGAGUGGCAAAAUCACGGACUAGCUCAGUCAUCAGUCACGGACCCUUGUUGUAUUAUUCUGUCUACAAUAUAGUUUUGUUUUUUUUGUGUAAAUGAGUAGCUGCAAAGUCUUCUAUAAACUUAUUAUUGUAUCACGAGUUUUGUAUUAUUGUGUCACGAGUUUUGCAGCUUCUAUUAUUGUGGCAUU